ACGCUGGCGGCAGGCUUAACACAUGCAAGUCGAGCGGUAACAGGAGAAGCUUGCUUCUCGCUGACGAGCGGCGGACGGGUGAGUAAUACUUAGGAAUCUACCUAGUAGUGGGGGAUAGCACGGGGAAACUCGUAUUAAUACCGCAUACGACCUACGGGAGAAAGGGGGCAGUUUACUGCUCUCGCUAUUAGAUGAGCCUAAGUCGGAUUAGCUAGAUGGUGGGGUAAAGGCCUACCAUGGCGACGAUCUGUAGCUGGUCUGAGAGGAUGAUCAGCCACACCGGGACUGAGACACGGCCCGGACUCCUACGGGAGGCAGCAGUGGGGAAUAUUGGACAAUGGGGGCAACCCUGAUCCAGCCAUGCCGCGUGUGUGAAGAAGGCCUUUUGGUUGUAAAGCACUUUAAGCAGUGAAGAAGACUCCGUGGUUAAUACCCACGGACGAUGACAUUAGCUGCAGAAUAAGCACCGGCUAACUCUGUGCCAGCAGCCGCGGUAAUACAGAGGGUGCAAGCGUUAAUCGGAAUUACUGGGCGUAAAGGGAGCGUAGGUGGCUCGAUAAGUCAGAUGUGAAAUCCCCGGGCUCAACCUGGGAACUGCAUCUGAUACUGUUGAGCUAGAGUAUGUGAGAGGAAGGUAGAAUUCCAGGUGUAGCGGUGAAAUGCGUAGAGAUCUGGAGGAAUACCGAUGGCGAAGGCAGCCUUCUGGCAUAAUACUGACACUGAGGCUCGAAAGCGUGGGUAGCAAACAGGAUUAGAUACCCUGGUAGUCCACGCCGUAAACGAUGUCUACUAGUCGUUGGGUCCCUUGAGGACUUAGUGACGCAGCUAACGCAAUAAGUAGACCGCCUGGGGAGUACGGCCGCAAGGUUAAAACUCAAAUGAAUUGACGGGGGCCCGCACAAGCGGUGGAGCAUGUGGUUUAAUUCGAUGCAACGCGAAGAACCUUACCUGGUCUUGACAUAUCUAGAAUCCUGCAGAGAUGCGGGAGUGCCUUCGGGAAUUAGAAUACAGGUGCUGCAUGGCUGUCGUCAGCUCGUGUCGUGAGAUGUUGGGUUAAGUCCCGCAACGAGCGCAACCCUUGUCCUUAGUUACCAGCGGGUUAAGCCGGGAACUCUAAGGAUACUGCCAGUGACAAACUGGAGGAAGGCGGGGACGACGUCAAGUCAUCAUGGCCCUUACGACCAGGGCUACACACGUGCUACAAUGGUAGGUACAGAGGGCAGCUACACAGCGAUGUGAUGCGAAUCUCAAAAAGCCUAUCGUAGUCCAGAUUGGAGUCUGCAACUCGACUCCAUGAAGUAGGAAUCGCUAGUAAUCGCGGAUCAGAAUGCCGCGGUGAAUACGUUCCCGGGCCUUGUACACACCGCCCGUCACACCAUGGGAGUUGAUUGCACCAGAAGUGGGUAGCCUAACCUUUUAGGAAGGCGCUCACCACGGUGUGGUUGAUGACUGGGGUGAAGUCGUAACAAGGUAGCCGUA
rnacentral:rRNA from 1 species